rnacentral:piRNA from 1 species
UGUCCUGGCAUAACUGAUUAAUUUGGGAU